CGCAAGAAACCAGGUACAUCUCUAUCUCUCUCUUUCUCUCUCUCUCUCUCUAGCGUAUCCUAACCCAAAAACGGGUACCCCUCCCUCUCGAGCAAAUCCUAACCUCGAAAACCAGGUACUCCUCUCUCUCUUUCUCUCUCUAAAUGUUUGAUGCAUCAGUUAUAACAAAAAAACUGGUAACUCACUUUCUCUCUCAAAAUGCCUGAUGCAUCGGUUAUAGCAGAAAAAAAGGUAACUCUCUCUCUAAAUGUGUGAAUUGGCAAUGGCCAAAAGAACAAUUACCCCUCUCUUUCUCUCUCUAAAUGCCUACCUG
rnacentral:lncRNA from 1 species